AUGCAUGCCUUCCCCAGUGACGCGGCCACCGACAGCCGCGUCCGCCGGGGCCUUCACCGACCACCGCUAGCCCUCACGAAGGACCAAGACAACGCCCUCCUCUUCCUCCUCUCAGGGAAAGACCCCUCCUCUUCUUCCUGUCAGGAAGGACCAAGACAGCGCCCUCCUCUUCCUCCUCUCAGGGAAAGAUCCCGUAUGUGGUAUGUUGCAUCCCAGGAAAAAAUAUCUUCUGCCAUUCUCAUGUGCCUGCCUAGUUGGUUAUAUCUAUUAGUUUGGUCUGACAAGCUCUUGUCUAUUAUGUGA
rnacentral:rRNA from 1 species